UACGGGGGGGGUAAGCGUUGUUCGGAAUCACUGGGCGUAAAGCGCACGCAGGCGGAUUGAUAAGUCAGGGGUGAAAUCCCGGAGCUCAACUUCGGAAUUGCCUUUGAUACUGUCUGUCUUGAGUCCGGGAGAGGUGAGUGGAAUUCCUAGUGUAGAGGUGAAAUUCGUAGAUAUUAGGAAGAACACCAGUGGCGAAGGCGGCUCACUGGCCCGGUACUGACGCUCAUGUGCGAAAGCGUGGGGAGCAAACAGG
rnacentral:rRNA from 1 species